rnacentral:rRNA from 1 species
GGGAUCUUCGGACCUCGCGCCAUUAGAUGAGCCUAGGUCGGAUUAGCUAGUUGGUGAGGUAAUGGCUCACCAAGGCGACGAUCCGUAACUGGUCUGAGAGGAUGAUCAGUCACACUGGAACUGAGACACGGUCCAGACUCCUACGGGAGGCAGCAGUGGGGAAUAUUGGACAAUGGGCGAAAGCCUGAUCCAGCCAUGCCGCGUGUGUGAAGAAGGUCUUCGGAUUGUAAAGCACUUUAAGUUGGGAGGAAGGGUAGUAACCUAAUACGUUGCUACUUUGACGUUACCGACAGAAUAAGCACCGGCUAACUUCGUGCCAGCAGCCGCGGUAAUACGAAGGGUGCAAGCGUUAAUCGGAAUUACUGGGCGUARAGCGCGCGUAGGUGGUUCAGUAAGUUGGAAGUGAAAUCCCCGGGCUCAACCUGGGAACUGCUUUCAAAACUGCUGAGCUAGAGUACGGUAGAGGGUGGUGGAAUUUCCUGUGUAGCGGUGAAAUGCGUAGAUAUAGGAAGGAACACCANUGGCGAAGGCGACCACCUGGACUGAUACUGACACUGAGGUGCGAAAGCGUGGGGAGCAAACAGGAUUAGAUACCCUGGUUGUCCACGCCGUAAACGAUGUCAACUAGCCGUUGGGAUCCCUUGAGAUUUUAGUGGCGCAGCUAACGCCUUAAGUUGACUGCCUGGGGAGUACGGCCGCAAGGUUAAAACUCAAAUGAAUUGACGGGGGCCCGCACAAGCGGUGGAGCAUGUGGUUUAAUUCGWAGCAACGCGAAGAACCUUACCUGGCCUUGACNUGCUGAGAACUUUCCAGAGAUGGAUUGGUGCCUUCGGGAASUCAGACACUGMUGCUGCAUGGCUGUCGUCAGCUCGUGUCYUGAGAUGUUGGGUUAAGUCCCGWAACGAGCGCAACCCUUGUCCUUAGUUACCAGCACGUURUGGUGGGAACUCUAAGGAGACCGCCGGUGACAAACCGGAGGAAGGUGGGGAUGACGUCAAGUCAUCAUGGCCCUUMCGGCCAGGGCUACACACGUGCUCCAAUGGUCGGUACAAAGGGUUGCCAAGMCGCGAGGUGGAGCUAAUCCCAUAAAACC